rnacentral:rRNA from 1 species
AGUGAACGCUGGCGGUAGGCCUAACACAUGCAAGUCGAACGGCAGCACAGUAAGAGCUUGCUCUUACGGGUGGCGAGUGGCGGACGGGUGAGGAAUACAUCGGAAUCUACUUUUUCGUGGGGGAUAACGUAGGGAAACUUACGCUAAUACCGCAUACGACCUACGGGUGAAAGCAGGGGAUCUUCGGACCUUGCGCGAUUGAAUGAGCCGAUGUCGGGUUAGCUAGUUGGCGGGGUAAAGGCCCACCAAGGCGACGAUCCGUAGCUGGUCUGAGAGGAUGAUCAGCCACACUGGAGCUGAGACACGGUCCAGACUCCUACGGGAGGCAGCAGUGGGGAAUAUUGGACAAUGGGCGCGAGCCUGAUCCAGCCAUACCGCGUGGGUGAAGAAGGCCUUCGGGUUGUAAAGCCCUUUUGCUGGGAAAGAAAAGCAGCAGGUUAAUACCCCGCUGUUCUGACGGUACCCAAAGAAUAAGCACCGGCUAACUUCGUG